GGUUAUAUUAUUUCUGUGUCAUUGCCUGGUGCUGAACAGUCUUGAAAAGAAUAGACCUGGUUUGUGAAUUAUGGCCUGUACUUUGCUUUUGAUCACUCUCCUGUCUCUCUGUUCAGGAACCAUUUCCCAGGCUGUCGUGACUCAGGAAUCUUCACUCACAACAUCACCUGGUGAAACAGUCAUACUCACUUGUCAAUCUAGUACUGGAACUGUUACAACCAAUAACUAUGCCAACUGGGUCCAAGAAAAACCAGAUCAUUUAUUUACUGGUAUAAUAGGUGGUACUAACAAUCGAGCUCCAGGUGUUCCUGCUAGAUUCUCGGGCUCCAUUAUUGGAGGCAAGGCUGCCCUUACCAUCACAGGGGCACAGGCUGAGGAUGAGGCGAUGUAUUUCUGUGCUCUCUGGUACAGCAACCAUUUUGUUUUCGGCGGUGGAACCAAGCUCACUGUCCUAGGUCAGCCCAAGUCCACUCCCACACUCACAGUGUUUCCACCUUCUCCUGAGGAGCUCCAGGAAAACAAAGCCACACUGGUGUGCCUGAUUUCCGACUUCUACCCGGGUGAUGUAACAGUGGCUUGGAAGGCAAAUAAUGCACCUAUCACCCAGGGUGUGGAAACUGCAAAUCCCACCAAAGAGGGCAACAAGUACAUAGCCAGCAGCUUCUUACGCCUGACUCCAGACCAGUGGAGAUCUCACAAAAGUUUCACCUGCCAAGUUAUACAUGAAGGGAACACUGUUGAGAAGAGUCUGUCUCCUGCAGAAUGUCUCUAGGAACCCAGGUUUCUCUUUAGCCUGGGAACCCUGCAGCUGUAGGACCUAGAGUGGGGUCUCUUCUCUAUAUUAGCUAUCUUUACCCUUUUCUCUUGCCCACUGAAUAUUAAAUAAAAUAUCAUGAGUUAAUCAUAA